rnacentral:lncRNA from 1 species
CAGGGAAUGACAUCACUUCAUUUGCGCGCAUUCACGAGAGUGGUAGCUCUGUUCCAAAACGUUUUUCAAGACACAGGAACCGUCCGGUUGUAAUAUUACUGAAUCUUUACGUUCUAAAGGCCCUAAAGAUUGAUGUUUUACAACGUUUGACAUGUUUGAACGAACGUAAAUACAACUUUUUUAAACUUUUCGUCGUGACAUUGUCCGCGCGCUUCCUACAUUUGGAGUAGCUGAACUGAACGCGCAAACAACAAGGAGUUAUUUGGACAUAAAUUAUGGAGUUUAUCGAACAAAACAACAUUUAUUGUGGACCUGGGAUUCCUGGAAGUGUCUUCUGAUGAAGAUCAUCAAAGAAGUUGGUGUUGGUGCUCUAGACAGAAGGCAAGUAGUUAAAAGGUUGCAGAUGAUGAUAGAAUGGCUUGGAAAUGUGAGUUGUGCACAAGCCCAUUUCAGUCUAGAACACAUUUACUUUAACCCAAUCGUCUAAAGCACAGUCAUUACUCAAGAGUGGGUCGACUGCCAUGUCUCUAUGAAGAUUGUGUUUGCACAUUUCAGGUACUCAAUGCACUUAAAACUCAUCUAUCGCGAUGCCACAAUGCAGAGGUCAGGAAUAGGGAAGGUCAGGAGCAUGCAUCUUUUAACUGACCUCUGUGUACAUUCAAGCAACCUUUCUUUGAAUUUGUACUCUUCAGUCACCUUAGGGGACAUUUAAAGAAGCAUGAGAGAGUAGGACACACCAAGUGAGUGUUAUGUCAGAUUUUCAUGAUGACAUUGUCUGUCAGGAAACUGAUAACCUAACUGCCACUAACUCAGAUGACUUAUGUGAAGAAUGUCCCAGCCUGUCAAGAGGUGAGUGUAGCUGGUGCAUCGAAGUCAGGUGCAGAGAUGAGUGGACAAAGCACUUUACUAAGGCAAUCAUAUGCACAGAACGCAAUUGCGUCACAGAACAAAUGCCCAACGAACCAGUGAAGCAGCACAAAGUACAAAAACACAAGUACAAAGUACAGGCUGCCACAAAGCACGGGUAAUAAAAUAAACCCAGCGCAAACCAGCCUGAAGCCUGCCAACCUCAACAAUAAACAAUUACACACACGGACAUGGGGGGAACAGAGGGUUAAAUACACGACAUGUAAUGAGAUGUACCAGGUGUGUGGGAAAACAAGACAGAACAAAUGGAAAAUGAAAGGUGGAUCGGCGAUGGCUAGAAGACCGGUGACGUCGACCACCGAACGCCACCCACCCAAACAAGGAGAGGAACCGGCAUCAGCGGAAGUCGUGACAGUACCCCCCCUUGACGCGCGGCUCCAGCAGCGCGCCGACACUGGCCUCGGGGACGACCCGGAGGCAUACAACAUUGAUGGCCAGCUGCUGUUGACCCCCAAGAGGUUAAUUUGAGUGAGAAAGAGUUGAAAAUGUUAUGCAAUGGCAGCUGCAGCUGCAGCUCCUCAAGCCAUGAUACUUCACGUUGUUGAUGCUGACCAUACAAGGAAGAUAAACCUCAGCUCCAGCAUCUGUUGAUGACUUGAUAAACAUUUUGAAGGCCAAGUUUGAGUUUGACUACAACUUCCGCUUGCAGUAUGAAGACCUUGACUUUGAUGGACAACUUACCUGCUUGAUUGAGAGUGCACCUUUUAGUGGAAGGAGGAGAUACAAGUUAUACAGCUGACACAGUAAUACUUUCAGAUGUGUCUUCCCCAAAGCGCCUCAGUAGGUGGCCGACAGACGUUUUUCCCAUGCCUACUUUUGCAUUAUAGAGUUGAAGCUUAGAGAAAGAAAUGCUGCCUUUAAAUGGGAUGGAACAUAUAUUCAGUUGUCUAGAGACCUAAAACAUGGCAUCUUAGAGAAAGUUGCUACUACUGUGUACAGUUUCAAGGCUUACCCAAAUGACAGAGAUAGGAAAGGCAGCUGAAGCUCUUGUUACGAAACCCCCGUCUGAAAGAGGCAGGAUCUAACACUGGGUGGAAUGGAUGGAAGAACAGCAUCAACUUCAAGAUGGGUAACUACAGAACCAAGUUGAGGAAAGCAGGAUGUCAGGAGGUCUCUGUAACGCAAGAAAAAUAAGCAGAAGGAAUCCAGAGAACGAACCAACGCAUUCAAAUAUAAAUAGAAUUAAGUGGGAUGAAGUUCAUUUUCUGCCAAACCAUUUCCUGCUGAGGCAGGAUAGGAUAGGAGUUCCCUGAUCUCUGAGUUGUAGGUGUAUGCAGAAUUCCAGUGAAUUACAAACCAGAACUUGCUAAACAUCUUCUAUGCUGAGAUUGACCAUCACACUCGGUUGAUGACCUUGUAUAGACAGAGGGCAUCGAAGACUGGAAGGACUGCUGACGCUUUGGUUGACAUUCUGAGGUGUCAUGAUCUACAGGAAAGGAACCCCAAAAGACAAUUCCUCUGUCACGGACGUGAUGAGAGACGGACCAAGGCGCAGCGUGAUUGGAGUUCCAUAUCUUUUAUUACUGUGAAACUUAAACAAACCAAGAAACAAACAACAACCGUGAAGUACCGUAGUGCUACAUGCACUCACUCAAAACAAUAUCCCACAAAACACAGGUGGGAAAAAGGCUACCUAAAUAUGAUCCCCAGUUAGUGUCAACACUUACCAGCUGCCUCUAAUUGGGAAACAUACAACUCACCAACAUAGAAAUACAAUGACUAGAACACCCCCCUAGUCACGCUCUGACCUAAACACCAUAGAGAACCAAGGGCUCUCACCAUAGAGAACCAACCCCCCCCCCCCCCCCCCACAAAGGUGCGGACUCCGGCCGCAAAACCUGAAAACAAAUGGGGAGGGUGGGGGGGGUGCCUAGUGUUGGUGGC